GAUGAACGCUGGCGGCGUGCCUAAUACAUGCAAGUCGAGCGAACAGACGAGGAGCUUGCUCCUCUGACGUUAGCGGCGGACGGGUGAGUAACACGUGGAUAACCUACCUAUAAGACUGGGAUAACUUCGGGAAACCGGAGCUAAUACCGGAUAAUAUAUUGAACCGCAUGGUUCAAUAGUGAAAGACGGUUUUGCUGUCACUUAUAGAUGGAUCCGCGCCGCAUUAGCUAGUUGGUAAGGUAACGGCUUACCAAGGCGACGAUGCGUAGCCGACCUGAGAGGGGGAUCGGCCACACUGGAACUGAGACACGGUCCAGACUCCUACGGGAGGCAGCAGUAGGGAAUCGUCCGCAAUGGGCGAAAGCCUGACGGAGCAACGCCGCGUGAGUGAUGAAGGUCUUCGGAUCGUAAAACUCUGUUAUUAGGGAAGAACAAAUGUGUAAGUAACUAUGCACGUCUUGACGGUACCUAAUCAGAAAGCCACGGCUAACUACGUG
rnacentral:rRNA from 1 species